rnacentral:rRNA from 1 species
UGAAUGGUUUAACGAGAGAUAAGCUUUUUUUUUUAUAAAAGUUGAAUUUAAGUUAYCAGUGAAAAAGCUGAUAUGUUUUAAAAAGACGAGAAGACCCUAUAGAGUUUUAUAGUUUAGUUACCUUUUGUUAAUUUUGAGUAUAAGAUAAAAGGUUAUUAGAAYUAUUUUGUUGGGGCGACAUUAAGAUAAAAUUAACUCUUAAUUUUAAAAACUUUAUUUAAAGUAUAAAUUGAUCCUAAAUUUAUAGAUUAAAAGAAAAAAUUACCUUAGGGAUAACAGCGUAAUCUUUUUUGAGAGUUCUAAUCGACAAAAAGGUUUGCGACCUCGAUGUUGGACUAAAAUUUAGAUAAAGUGCAGCAGCUUUAUUUUAGGGUCUGUUCGACCCUUAAAAUUUUACAUGAUCUGAGUUCARACCGGCGUGAG